GGGCAUGUCACAGCCAGAAGGUUGAUAUAGACAAAUUGGAUAGAACUCAGGAAAGAGCAACACACCAAAAAAAAAAAAAAAUGAUGAAGAGGCUGGAGGGAUUGAAUGAUGAGGAAAGAUUAAAAGAACUAAAUAUGGACAGACUGGCUAAACGCUGAUUAAAAACAGCAAUCAGAACUGUCUCCGGGUAUCUGAGCACGAGCAGGCAAGAGGGGCCACAUUAGCAGGUGUGGGGUCAGGCAGGAGGGAAGUAAGGUGGACUUCAAGUAAAUGAAGGGAUAGUGUUAGUGGCAAACUUCUGGGUAGUGAAAAAGCCUCUGUUAAUGGAAGAGGUGGGAGGAUCUGAGCAGAGAGAUUGGGAGUGAGGGGCACAAAAGGGGAACAUGGAACAUAUGGAUCUCUAUCUGAGAGUUCUAAAAACACCCAGUGGUGUUUGGAACCCCUAGAGAGUGUGAGGGUGUGCUCUGGAGACCCUAGGUGUGUCACAAAGACUGUGUCCUUAUGUAACAUCUAAAGCCAUCACAGUGAGUUCCUGCUGGCCUGGAUCCAGGAUGGUCAGAGGCCAAGAAAGACAGAAUCAUCCAUCAGAGCACUGGGACAACACAAGGAUCAAACUGUGUGGCCGUCCAGCUGACAGUGACCUUUUAUGCCCCUUUUUGUUUUCAAAGUAAAAUCCUGGACCCGAAAUAUUUUCCCUUUUGCACAGAAAGAGGCAGCUGGUCAGCUUGACAGGCGGAAACUGCAGCUUUCUCGUUAAUGUGCGAUCCUGAAACGAUGAUUCUGGCUGCUGGGGCUUCUGCAGGAAAUGCUAAGGUUUGUGUGUUCCAGUUUUUGCAUCCUGUGAUUGGCAGCUUUUGUGCUAGGUACCCACUCUGAAGUAUUCCAUAUCGUUGAGAAGGUCGAAGUAGUCAUCAGUGACUGAAGCCUAAUUUAGAGUCUUAAAUCGAAAUCAUUGUUGAAGAAUAUUGCUCCUCCACCACAGACGUCUUCUGCAUAUCAUGGGUGUGUUCAUCAGAGAACAAGCUCUCACCCGGUCUCUCAUAAUAUAAAAGCGUUUUUUAAUCCCUUUUAACAGGUACUGUCGCAGUUUAUUUAUAACCAAUGCAUUAAAGUGAAAAAUAUUGAAAGGGUCUUAAGUGGAAGUCGGCUUUUGAAAUAUUGCUGUAUUUAAAUUAUAGAAUGUUGUCAGGCUGAUUUGUGGAAAGGACGAGUCAGUGUUAGCUGGUAAGUGAUAUACGCACAGGCUUCCUGUAAGUUUGGGAGGUGCUUUCUGCAGUGUGUGGAAGGAGAUUGUGCAUAAUCUGGCUAUUGCAAUUGAAUUGAUUGCUCCCUUGCAUAUUCAUAAUCAUAUUCAUAUUUGGUCAGCUCUCAUGCUCUUUGACAUUUCUGAUAUUUAUGAAGCAUGACAUGUGUUAGAACUCUUUUGGCCUUCUAGACUUCCUGCUGUACAGAGACUUGAGAUCCUCAUUGAAAGCAUUGUCAAGUGUUUCAUUUAACCCCUUCCUUUCCAGCUCUGGUUUGAUUUCAUAUAUAGGGAAGCCGACAGCAUGCUUUAAUUUUGGUACAAACAUAUAGAUCUCAGGACACAUUCCAAACAUUAAAAUUUUUUGUUGAUUUAUAUUUCCACUGCAUUUUCCCUCCGUUAGAAAACCUUGCCUGAGACUAAAGUUGUUGGGUUGUUAUAUUAAUGGAUGUUUAUGUUGUCCUGUGACAGCUGGCUUUGCUAAUUUGUUUUUACAGGGCAGUUUAUAGUAAAUGAAUGGCAUGUUGAAUAUUUUACUGAGAUUACAGAUUAUCUAAAUAAUAUUUUCCGGUUUACUAAUUGGUAGAUAAUGCUGAGC
rnacentral:lncRNA from 1 species